rnacentral:rRNA from 1 species
AGUGAACGCUGGCGGUAGGCCUAACACAUGCAAGUCGAACGGCAGCACAGUAAGAGCUUGCUCUUACGGGUGGCGAGUGGCGGACGGGUGAGGAAUACAUCGGAAUCUACUUUUUCGUGGGGGAUAACGUAGGGAAACUUACGCUAAUACCGCAUACGACCUACGGGUGAAAGCAGGGGAUCUUCGGACCUUGCGCGAUUGAAUGAGCCGAUGUCGGAUUAGCUAGUUGGCGGGGUAAGGGCCCACCAAGGCGACGAUCCGUAGCUGGUCUGAGAGGAUGAUCAGCCACAGUGGAACUGAGACACGGUCCAGACUCCUACGGGAGGCAGCAGUGGGGAAUAUUGGACAAUGGGCGCAAGCCUGAUCCAGCCAUACCGCGUGGGUGAAGAAGGCCUUCGGGUUGUAAAGCCCUUUUGUUGGGAAAGAAAAGCAGCAGGUUAAUACCCCGCUGUUCUGACGGUACCCAAAGAAUAAGCACCGGCUAACUUCGUG